rnacentral:pre_miRNA from 1 species
AUAAUGUUGGGUCGAGUGACAAGAAAAGUAAAGCAAGUUGCUCUUGUUUUGACUCAAUAGCCACUUGAAAUGGCAUUUUCCCUUCACGAUUCUUUAUUUUCCAUGGAGUGAAGUAAUUAGUUGCCUCAUUAGAGAUCUCACUGGCUGAUGAUGUUACUUCUUUUUGGUACUCACGUACAACAAUUAUCCCUAUCUCUUCAUUACUAUUUCUUGCUGCAAUGUGUAAUGGAGUGUCACCCCUUUCCUUUUCAGUCGUCUGACAAACUAAAUUC